UAACGGGGCUAAACCAUGCACCGAAGCUGCGGCAGCGACACUAUGUGUUGUUGGGUAGGGGAGCGUUCUGUAAGCCUGCGAAGGUGACCUGUGAGGGUUGCUGGAGGUAUCAGAAGUGCGAAUGCUGACAUAAGUAACGAUAAAGCGGGUGAAAAGCCCGCUCGCCGGAAGACCAAGGGUUCCUGUCCAACGUUAAUCGGGGCAGGGUGAGUCGACCCCUAAGGCGAGGCCGAAAGGCGUAGUCGAUGGGAAACAGGUUAAUAUUCCUGUACUUGGUGUUACUGCGAAGGGGGGACGGAGAAGGCUAUGUUAGCCGGGCGACGGUUGUCCCGGUUUAAGCAUGUAGGCUGGUUAUCCAGGCAAAUCCGGAUAAUCAAGGCUGAGGUGUGAUGACGAGGCACUACGGUGCUGAAGUAACAAAUGCCCUGCUUCCAGGAAAAGCCUCUAAGCAUCAGGUAACAUCAAAUCGUACCCCAAACCGACACAGGUGGUCAGGUAGAGAAUACCAAGGCGCUUGAGAGAACUCGGGUGAAGGAACUAGGCAAAAUGGUGCCGUAACUUCGGGAGAAGGCACGCUGGUGUGUAGGUGAAGCCCCUGCGGGUGGAGCUGAGACCAGUCGAAGAUACCAGCUGGCUGCAACUGUUUAUUAAAAACACAGCACUGUGCAAACACGAAAGUGGACGUAUACGGUGUGACGCCUGCCCGGUGCCGGAAGGUUAAUUGAUGGGGUUAUCCGUAAGGAGAAGCUCUUGAUCGAAGCCCCGGUAAACGGCGGCCGUAACUAUAACGGUCCUAAGGUAGCGAAAUUCCUUGUCGGGUAAGUUCCGACCUGCACGAAUGGCGUAAUGAUGGCCAGGCUGUCUCCACCCGAGACUCAGUGAAAUUGAACUCGCUGUGAAGAUGCAGUGUACCCGCGGCAAGACGGAAAGACCCCGUGAACCUUUACUAUAGCUUGACACUGAACAUUGAGCCUUGAUGUGUAGGAUAGGUGGGAGGCUUUGAAGCGUGGACGCCAGUCUGCGUGGAGCCAACCUUGAAAUACCACCCUUUAAUGUUUGAUGUUCUAACGUUGGCCCCUGACCGGGGUUGCNUGCGAAGGUGUGCUGUGAGGCAUGCUGGAGGUAUCAGAAGUGCGAAUGCUGACAUAAGUAACGAUAAAGCGGGUGAAAAGCCCGCUCGCCGGAAGACCAAGGGUUCCUGUCCAACGUUAAUCGGGGCAGGGUGAGUCGACCCCUAAGGCGAGGCCGAAAGGCGUAGUCGAUGGGAAACAGGUUAAUAUUCCUGUACUUGGUGUUACUGCGAAGGGGGGACGGAGAAGGCUAUGUUAGCCGGGCGACGGUUGUCCCGGUUUAAGCAUGUAGGCUGGUUAUCCAGGCAAAUCCGGAUAAUCAAGGCUGAGGUGUGAUGACGAGGCACUACGGUGCUGAAGUAACAAAUGCCCUGCUUCCAGGAAAAGCCUCUAAGCAUCAGGUAACAUCAAAUCGUACCCCAAACCGACACAGGUGGUCAGGUAGAGAAUACCAAGGCGCUUGAGAGAACUCGGGUGAAGGAACUAGGCAAAAUGGUGCCGUAACUUCGGGAGAAGGCACGCUGGUGUGUAGGUGAAGUCCCUGCGGAUGGAGCUGAGACCAGUCGAAGAUACCAGCUGGCUGCAACUGUUUAUUAAAAACACAGCACUGUGCAAACACGAAAGUGGACGUAUACGGUGUGACGCCUGCCCGGUGCCGGAAGGUUAAUUGAUGGGGUUAUCCGUAAGGAGAAGCUCUUGAUCGAAGCCCCGGUAAACGGCGGCCGUAACUAUAACGGUCCUAAGGUAGCGAAAUUCCUUGUCGGGUAAGUUCCGACCUGCACGAAUGGCGUAAUGAUGGCCAGGCUGUCUCCACCCGAGACUCAGUGAAAUUGAACUCGCUGUGAAGAUGCAGUGUACCCGCGGCAAGACGGAAAGACCCCGUGAACCUUUACUAUAGCUUGACACUGAACAUUGAGCCUUGAUGUGUAGGAUAGGUGGGAGGCUUUGAAGCGUGGACGCCAGUCUGCGUGGAGCCAACCUUGAAAUACCACCCUUUAAUGUUUGAUGUUCUAACGUUGGCCCCUGACCGGGGUUGCGGACAGUGUCUGGUGGGUAGUUUGACUGGGGCGGUCUCCUCCCAAAGCGUAACGGAGGAGCACGAAGGUUAGCUAAUCCUGGUCGGACAUCAGGAGGUUAGUGCAAUGGCAUAAGCUAGCUUGACUGCGAGCGUGACGGCGCGAGCAGGUGCGAAAGCAGGUCAUAGUGAUCCGGUGGUUCUGAAUGGAAGGGCCAUCGCUCAACGGAUAAAAGGUACUCCGGGGAUAACAGGCUGAUACCGCCCAAGAGUUCAUAUCGACGGCGGUGUUUGGCACCUCGAUGUCGGCUCAUCACAUCCUGGGGCUGAAGUAGGUCCCAAGGGUAUGGCUGUUCGCCAUUUAAAGUGGUACGCGAGCUGGGUUUAGAACGUCGUGAGACAGUUCGGUCCCUAUCUGCCGUGGGCGCUGGAGAAUUGAGGGGGGCUGCUCCUAGUACGAGAGGACCGGAGUGGACGCAUCACUGGUGUUCGGGUUGUCAUGCCAAUGGCACUGCCCGGUAGCUAAAUGCGGAAGAGAUAAGUGCUGAAAGCAUCUAAGCACGAAACUUGCCCCGAGAUGAGUUCUCCCUGAGACUNNNNNNNNNNNNNNNNNNNNNNNNNNNNNNNNNNGACGUUGAUAGGCCGGGUGUGUAAGCGCAGCGAUGCGUUGAGCUAACCGGUACUAAUGAACCGUGAGGCUUAACCUU
rnacentral:rRNA from 1 species